AAAUUUGAAGAGAGAGUUCAGAUAUAUGUGACCCCGUUCUGGGGUAAGUGUGGUAACUCCGAAGUGUCGAUGGGGUGAUAUUCUUCCCUUUCGGGCCAGUGGCCCCCGACCUCAGUUGAAGGGGCCGGCCGCCCGCGCGGAGCAAUCCGCGGCGGGGUCGUGUCGGGUUGCCUUUCCUCUCUGCGCGGGGUGGGGCCUUUCCUGUGUGCGGUGGGCCGCACUUCUCCCCUAUUAUGACAUCCCGACCCGCUGGGUGCCGGACUACGGCCCGGGUGCGCAUACUGUCCUUCCUCGGUUCUCGGUUCGCGUCUGUUGGGCAGAGCCCCGGUGUCCCCGGCUGGCUGCUCGGCGGUACAUCUCGAGGAAUCAAUUCACUCACUUUUGGGCGCCGGGGCUCCCGGCACGCGUGCGCGGUUCUUCCCAGAUGACAGACCAACAUGGCCCGGCCCCGGACCCACGCCGCUGUUGGCUCGGGAUGCUCUCGGGCGGAAUACUCACUCCUGUCACCCGCGCUUCAUAUUUGGACAUUUUCGAGACCCGUCUUGAAACACGGA
rnacentral:rRNA from 1 species